AUGAAGAAGAGGCCUAUAGUUGCAGAGAAGGCUGACUUAAGAAGCAGGAGGAAAAAUUAUGGCUUGGUAAGAAAGAGGAAGUUUCGCGCGGAUCGGUUUUGCAUAAGUGCUAUAAACGCGGUUCGGUGGAGCUCGGACAGCGGCAGCACAGCGACCGCGGGGUCCUCCGUCACCGAGAGCAUCGGGUUUACUAGGGGACGUACGCGCAUGGAAGCACGCUAUCCCGAAAGUAUUUUAUUAAGCACAGAUCGACUCACCGCUAGAGCAGGAAAAUCGGCUGUUAUAGGAAAAGAAAGGACCAAAUCCUCGUUUUCUCACUUUAAUUUCUGCUAUCCGCGCGGCAGGGAGGCAUGGCGGCUGCGCACCUCCCGGCCGGUCCCGGCGCGGCCGCGGCCCCUCGCAGCCCAGCGCCGCCCGCGCCCGCGGGAGAGGCGCCGCCCGGCUCGGCACCGCGCGUCCCUUCCGCCCGCCGCCCGGUACCGCGGUGGAACAGCGCUGCCGCUCCUUCGCUGCCUCCCGCGCGGGAACUCAAAUAGCCGGCAGUUGUGUACUGACAAGGCAGCAGUCAUGAGAAAUCACUCAGCAGUCAAUAAUACUGCAGAGUCAAUGACUGGGUAACAUCAUUUGUGGAGGAAAAGCACCUGGGGGUGUUAGCUGAGAGCCAGCUGAACGUGAGCCAGCAGCAUGCCCAGGUGGUCACGAAGGUCAGUGGCAUCUUGGCUUAUAUCAGAAAUCAUGCAGCCAGCAGAAGUGGGAGGUGAUUGUUCUUUUGCACUGGUAAGGCUGUACCUUGAGUACUGUGUUUGGGCCCUUCACUACAAGAAAGAUACUGAGGCCCUGGAGUGUGUCCAGAGAAGGGCAGUGGAACUGUGAAGGAUCUGAAGCACAAGUCUUGUGGAGAACAGCUGAGGGUACUGGGAUUGUUCAGUCUGUAGAAGAGGAGGCUCAGGGGUGACCUUAUUGCUCUCUACAGUUACCUAAGGAGGUUGUGGCAAGGUGGGGGGUCAGCCUCUGCUCUCAAGUAACAGUGAUAGGAAUAGAGGAAAUGGCCUUAAGCUGCUCCUGGAGAGGUUCAGAAUGGAUAUUAGGAAAAGUUCUGUCUCAGAAGGAGAGGUGAGGCACUGGCACAGGCUGCCAGGGGAGGCGGUGGAGUCACUGUCUCUGAGGGUGUUCAAGUAAUGUGGGUAUGCGACACUGAGGGAUGUACGUGGUUUAGUGAGCAUGGUGGGGAUGGGUUCACAUUUGGACUGGGUUAUUUUAGGGGUCUUUUCCAAUCUAAAUGAUUCUGUGAUUCUAUGAUUCUAUCAUGACAUGUGACUAAGUUACUUCUAGCCCAAUAUUAAAUUAAAUUACUUCUAGCCCAACAAUAGCCCAGAAUAAAGAACAGCCACCAAAAGACUUGUGCA
rnacentral:lncRNA from 1 species